rnacentral:rRNA from 1 species
AUUGAACGCUGGCGGCAUGCCUUACACAUGCAAGUCGAACGGUAACGCGGGGCAACCUGGCGACGAGUGGCGAACGGGUGAGUAAUGCAUCGGAACGUGCCCAGUAGUGGGGGAUAGCCCGGCGAAAGCCGGAUUAAUACCGCAUACGACCUACGGGUGAAAGGGGGGGAUCGCAAGACCUCUCGCUAUUGGAGCGGCCGAUGUCAGAUUAGGUAGUUGGUGGGGUAAAGGCCUACCAAGCCGACGAUCUGUAGCUGGUCUGAGAGGACGACCAGCCACACUGGGACUGAGACACGGCCCAGACUCCUACGGGAGGCAGCAGUGGGGAAUUUUGGACAAUGGGCGCAAGCCUGAUCCAGCCAUGCCGCGUGCGGGAAGAAGGCCUUCGGGUUGUAAACCGCUUUUGUCAGGGAAGAAAUCCUCUGGGUUAAUACCUCGGGAGGAUGACGGUACCUGAAGAAUAAGCACCGGCUAACUACGUGCCAGCCGCCGCAGUAAGAC